AUGGUCUGGUCAGGGAGAGGGAGAUGCUUCAGGGAAGUCAAUGCCCUGAGAUGGACUCUGAUUUCUGGUGAGGUGUCUAGCACUCCCCUAAGUUUUCCCAGAAUGAUCCAGAAGCCAGCAGCAUUUCCCUGGGGCCUAACCACGGUCAUUACUGACAUUUUCUUUAUUCAGCUGGUAAAACCUGCUGUCUCUCUCUUGGCAAAAGAGUGUGGUUUGCUCUUCAGAUAUGGAACCCUAAAAUGUUUGCAAUCUGAAAUCGCCCCUGCCUUGCUCCAUGCAUCCAAAACAGCCUCCAAGUGCAGUCACUGCCAUCUGGCAGCUUUAUUGGCACUUCAUGAGGAAUUUCCUGCAGGGCCAGGUAUGUACAGGAGACACCAACUCACCGAGUUGGAGCUGUUCAGUGUCCUCACUGAGUGGCUGUGCUGCUCCCAAACCCAUCUGCAGGGCUGGGGUAGCCAAAUGUCAGUGGAGAGCGUUGUGCCUGCCUGCCCCAUCCUCCCCGCAGGGCAGGGCUGUGAUCCUCACAAAACUCUCCAGGCUCUUCCACACCACAGCUCCAAAGUCUCUUCUAGGCAGCACAUUACAAAUUCAUGUGUGUACAAACUUGUUUGGAUAGCUAUUCCCCGCCUCAGCUCUCCCUGCUCCCUCCAGGGCAGGAGACAGAGCUCAUCCUUGGCAGCUCUUCCACGCUGCACACCCCAGGGUUCUGGUUCUGCUCACCAAACUCCAGGGUUCUGGUUCUGCACGUCCCAGGGCUCUGGUUCUGCUCACCCCAGGGUUCUGGUUCUGCUCACCCCAGAGUUCUGGUUCUGCUCACCCCAGUGUUCUGGUUCUGCACACCCCAGGGUUCUGGUUCUGCACACCCCAGGGUUCUGGUUCUGCAUGUCCCAGUGUUCUGGUUCUGCUCACCCCAGGGUUCUGGUUCUGCUCACCCCAGGGUUCUGGUUCUGCAUGUCCCAGUGUUCUGGUUCUGCACACCCCAGGGUUCUGGUUCUGCUCACCCCAGGGUUCUGCUUCUGCUCACCCCAGGGUUCUGCUUCUGCACACCCCAGGGUUCUGCAUGCCCCAGGGUUCUGGUUCUGCACACCCAGAGCUGUGGUUCUGCUCACCCCAGGGUUCUGGUUCUGCACACCCCAGAGCUCUGGUUCUGCACACCCCAGGGUUCUGGUUCUGCUCAUCCCAGAGCUGUGGUUCUGCUCAUCCCAGAGCUGUGUUCUGCUCACCCCAGGGUUCUGGUUCUCCUCACCAAACCCCAGGGUUCUGGUUCUGCAUGUCCCAGGGUUCUGGUUCUGCACAGCCAGAGCUGUGGUUCUGCACACCCCAGGGUUCUGGUUCUGCACACCCCAGUGUUCUGGUUCUGCACACCCCAGGGUUCUGGUUCUGCACACCCAGGGCUCUGGUUCUGCACACCCCAGGGUUCUGGUUCUGCUCACCCCAGGGUUCUGGUUCUGCACACCCCAGGGUUCUGGUUCUGCACACCCCAGGGUUCUGCACACCCCAGGGUUCUGGUUCUGCUCACCCCAGGGUUCUGGUUCUGCUCACCCAGAGCUGUGCUCAGCUCUGCUGAAGGUGGCCAAGGUGUCUCCUCUCUGCCUUGUGAGAGCUCAGCUCAGCCAAAGGCCCAGAAGGUUCCUGGUGAAACAAGUGCAGGCACGUCUGCUGAGCCUGGCUCCAGGAGACAGCAACAGCGAGAGCGGGGCAGCAAAGCACAUCUGA
ensembl:lncRNA